ACAUCCAGAGAAUUUAGCAGAGAUGCUUUAGUGCCUUCGGGAACUCUGAGACAGGUGCUGCAUGGCGUGUCGUCAGCUCGUGUUGUGAAAUGUUGGGUUAAGUCCCGCAACGAGCGCAACCCUUAUCCUUUGUUGCCAGCACGUAAUGGUGGGAACUCAAAGGAGACUGCCGGUGAUAAACCGGAGGAAGGUGGGGAUGACGUCAAGUCAUCAUGGCCCUUACGAGUAGGGCUACACACGUGCUACAAUGGCGCAUACAAAGAGAAGCGACCUCGCGAGAGCAAGCGGACCUCAUAAAGUGCGUCGUAGUCCGGAUUGGAGUCUGCAACUCGACUCCAUGAAGUCGGAAUCGCUAGUAAUCGUAAAUCAGAAUGUUACGGUGAAUACGUUCCCGGGCCUUGUACACACCGCCCGUCACACCAUGGGAGUGGGUUGCAAAAGAAGUAGAUAGCUUAACCUUCGGGAGGGCGUUUACCACUUUGUGAUUCAUGACUGGGGUGAAGUCGUAACAAGGUAGGCGUAGUGCU
rnacentral:rRNA from 1 species